UGGCGAACGGGUGAGUAACACGUGAGUAACCUGCCCUUGACUUUGGGAUAACUUCAGGAAACUGGGGCUAGUACCGGAUAGGAGCUCCUGCUGCAUGGUGGGGGUUGGAAAGUUUCGGCGGUUGGGGAUGGACUCGCGGCUUAUCAGCUUGUUGGUGGGGUAGUGGCUUACCAAGGCUUUGACGGGUAGCCGGCCUGAGAGGGUGACCGGCCACAUUGGGACUGAGAUACGGCCCAG
rnacentral:rRNA from 1 species